rnacentral:lncRNA from 1 species
GCCACCACUUUAUUUCUCGCUGCCGCCACCCAGGCCCUACCUGGGACAAUACUGAGUCCAGUCAGGGUUAAAUUGGAACAUAAACUUCUGUUUAUUUAUUGCAAUUUAACAAGCAUGUGGUUUCAUAAACGGUAUUGAUCAACUACAAUCAUGGGGUGCCUAUCCAGACCUAUAACUUCCACUACCUGCUCUCACUCACUAAACCACCUCUCAGAUAUUUACUUGUCUUCCUAGCCCCUAACUGUUCCUGACUCAGCUUAUUUCGCUACACUAACUCAACCUACCCACAGACUCUAUCCCAAUUCACUCCCACUCCAACCAACCAACCACCCAACUCCCAACAAACUCUCCCCUUUGCCCCUCUCAGAUCUGGUUUUAUAGUCCCUCUGACUCCACCCCCUGGGUUCUGAUUGGGUAACUUGUUUAACUAUUUCAACUCCAGCACUCUCAUAUGUUAACGUCACAAUCAUGGCCAAUGAUCAGGGAUGAUGGAGAGCUACAGAUUCCCCAUCUCACCUUUAAAUAUAAGCACUGAAAGUUUCUCCUAAGGGUCUGUUCUCACAAUUGAUGCAUAGGAGCUGCUUCCAAGUGGUUGGAUUCUCCCUCACCAUUCCAGUAACAUCUCUGUGCAGGAUGUAGUCAUGCUCUUGCCCUUCCUCUCCUCGUGCUUCCAGGUCUUCUUAUGAGGAGAGGAGAUGUAUGUAUCUCAUUUGAGAAACAUUUUUUUCUGACAUGGGCACAGAACAUAUUCAUUUUUAUGUAAUGAAAUUUAUAUACCACAUGGCAUCUACACAUGGCAUUUCCCCCUUGGGAAGUGUGGGGAAAGGAAACGCAUAAGUUCCUAGUACUUCAUCUCUCAUUGUUUGUAUGGAACAUGCAGAGCAUCCCAAUAGGUCCCUGUGGCUUGCUGUGUGGUGACCACUUUGCAUCUGACUGUAAGAUAGAGACACGGUGCAAUUUUCAAAUAGAGGUGUUCCCUAGGUGUGGAACAAUAGGCUUACCAUUGCAAGGGUUCCCUUUGUGCAUUGUGAAUGUAAGACUGCAGCAUUUUGGUGGAAAGAAGAGGUCCCACAUUGUGAGGACCACUAGACUUGUCAUGCAGAGUGGGCCUUACAUAGUUUUAAAACAGGUGCUUAGACACUCAAAUCAGUCCACAAUUGUCAAGCAUAAACUUAGGCAUGCACACAAACACAAAAAACCUGUUUGUAGCAUAAUUUGCAGGCAGAAAUGUAUGAAUUUGGAAUCAGCAGGCAUGCUUGGAUACGUUUUGCUCCAUAAAACGUACCUUUUGUUUCUCUGCAUUUGGUUCUCGGUAUUUGCAGAGCAUUACACAAGAAGAAAAUCUUUUUAUAGAGUCAGUAACAGAUGGUCAAACACCAUGCUUACCUACAAUUAUACCCUAAAUCAGUGUGCAUGAUUAUAUCAUCAAAGACAAUAAUGGAACAAAUGUUCCCAAGCAAAUCUCAGACAUUAAAGGGCUCGCUGACUGUAGAAAAACCUACUCAGUCAUUUUCAGACUAUGCCCAAAGAGGUUCUCAACAGUGUCUGUGUGUGUGUGUUUUGGGAAUGAGAGCCAGCUGGAAAGUAGAGGGCAACAGAAGGUAAAGCCCGUCAUUGUUAUAGUUCCUCAGGGCGAGGAACUAUGAGCAGCUAUGAGCAGGUAGCUCUGGGAAAAUGCUGGUUCAGCAGGCACCCUGAGGGAUGUGGACAAUUCAGAUAGCAGGGCUUGUUAGGAAUACUUCAUGGAGCAGGGAGAACAGAGAGCAACACCUUUUUCAGAUAAGUGCAUAAUUUCAUGAGAAGUAUAUAGAGGCAAGGAGGGAUCAGCAAUAAAAGGUUGCAGUGCAUCUCCAAACUGGAGUGUUCUGUUCAGCGUUCCAGCCAUGAGCUUGCAGAUUCCUCCCUCUUGUUCCUCAGUAGGCCCAUUUUGACUACAGUUCUGUUGACACUCACUACCCAGGGUUGCUAUUGGAAGAUACCCAAACCACAGGUGUAACUCAGAUAUUGAAUCCAUUCUAUGAAUGAAGAAUAGCUGUAGGCAUUCCAUGUUGGCUCCAACCCCAACCUCAUGUGCUCCUCCACUCCAUUAAGAUUGGUGGGGUCCACUAGUACUCUCAUCCCAGUUCUCCGUGAACUGAGAAGUUGGUUUUAGGUGAGGUGCUAUUCGCCAUUAUCUUGUCUCAAACGUUCACCAAAAUACCCUGGCUUUCACAUCACUAGCUGCACUACACUUGCCAGUUGUGAUCAAAUCAAAGUGUGCAAGGUUCAAUCCCUAAUCUAAAAACACUCAGACUCUCAAAAGUGUAGUAAAAAAACACACACAUACCCAAUCUGCCAGUACUAGGGUGUGUGGGUGAGUAACCUCUCUGAGCUAUAUCAAAGCAGAAUUGGAAGUGCAAAUUCUUAAAUGUGCCCUCCUUGAUCUUCAGCAAACACCCAGACAGCCAUGUUUCUAAUCUUCCUUCUGCAAGGAUGAGGCAAAGUCCCCCCCCCCCUUACAUGAAGUGAAGGAAAUAACAUAAUUCACAAUGCACUUCAAAUGUAGACACACACACACACAGAGAGAGAGAGAGAUGUAAAUUUGUGCACUGACAGUAAAAAAUGGUGGUGGGGGGGAGAGACCUCAGGUGGAACUUUUCCUGGUUUUGAACCUUCUACUUCUGGUUCCUGCUCAAGAGGUUAAAAUGCUGACCAGGCUAGCAAAUUUCUGGCUAGAUGGUGGCAAAACUUCUCUCUUGCCUUUGUGAAGCUUCCAAUUAUGGGAGGCCGUCAACUGGUUUGUCUUGUGAAGAAUUGGAAAGUGGCACUCGCUUGAGCGGCACAUUAUUGUUAAUUGGUGCAUUGUGUCUGUGGGCUGACGAGCUGCCUUUCCUGGCAAUGCUUGGCUGGAAUGUGGUUGAUGUGGAGGGUUCACUUGCUCCAGGGCCUGUUUAAUUGGUUUGAUGUAAAGAAAUAGGCCAGCAAAUGCAAACUCCAAAUGCCGACAUCCCAAACGUAUGUAACCGCUUUCUGACCUUAGUAGUAACACUCCUGUUAGAACAUUGCUGUUAUUAUCUCCUGUCACAGGAGUUUUAGCCGAUAUGUUCCUAGUGCCACUGUUGAGCCUCUAUAAAUGUACUUGCAUUAAAAGAAAGGAAGGGAGGAAAUAAUGAAACCAUAAUGGUGACAUUAGUGAGCAAAUGCAUAAAUAAUAUUCAGACAUUGUUAUUUAUAUUUCAUCUUGCGUUCCAAAAUUGGAAGCUCAGAAUAAUAUUGAAAAUGAAUCACAAAGAGAAAGUAAGAGCCCUGUUGGAGCAGGCCAAUUUUCCAACUAGUCCAGUAUCCUGUUCUCAAAGUGGCCAACAAGAUUCCUAUGAGAAUCCAUCAAGUAGGAUCUAAUAGAAAAAAAGAACACACACCACUUUGUUUCCCAGCCGCUGGCAUUCAGAGGCAUACAGCCUACAACUGAGCAGAGAGAACAUAGUUAUUGUGGUGAGUUGACAUUGGUAGACUUAGUCUCCAUGGUUUUGUCUAAUCCUCUUCUUAAGCCAUCAAAGCCAUCACUACCUGUUGUGUGAGGGAACUGUAUGGUUCAGCCAUGUGUUGUGUGAAGAAAAGCAAGUAUUAUGGAAUCAUCCUCUUUACAGAAGUUUGAAUAAAAUACAACACCAC